GUGAAUCAUCAAAUUUUUGAACGCAAAUUGCACUCUCUUCGGAGAGUAUGCCUGUUUGAGGGUCAGCGUAUAAAUAAUUAACAUCGUUGCUGUUUCGCGGUGGCGUUCGUCGGGAAUUGGGUCAUCUUCGAUUCUUUUUCUUUAAGCGACUUAAAAUUUUCUUAUGGUUCUAUGAACGUUACUAAGAUCUAUUUCUUUCCACGUUUAUGGUAUCGAUUUUUACUAGACGUCACCAUCAUAUCGGACCGCGACC
rnacentral:misc_RNA from 1 species